UACGUAGGGUGCAAGCGUUAAUCGGAAUUACUGGGCGUAAAGCGUGCGCAGGCGGUUUUGUAAGUCUGUCGUGAAAUCCCCGGGCUCAACCUGGGAAUUGCGAUGGAGACUGCAAGGCUAGAAUCUGGCAGAGGGGGGUAGAAUUCCACGUGUAGCAGUGAAAUGCGUAGAGAUGUGGAGGAACGACCGAUGGCGAAGGCAGCCCCCUGGGUCAAGAUUGGACGCUCA
rnacentral:rRNA from 1 species